UGUAGGAGUGAGCCUGCUCGCGAUGUCGGUGCGUCAUUCACAUCAUUUUUAGCUGACAGACCACCAUCGCGAGCAGGCUCACUCCUACA
rnacentral:antisense_RNA from 1 species